rnacentral:rRNA from 1 species
CGGGGAGCACCACAACAGGUGGAGCCUGCGGUUAAUCGGACUCAACGCCGGGAAACUCACCAGAUAAGACAGCUGAAUGAUAGUCGGGCUGAAGACUCUACUUGACUAGCUGAGAGGAGGUGCAUGGCCGUCGUCAGUUCGUACUGUGAAGCAUCCUGUUAAGUCAGGCAACGAGCGAGACCCACGCCAACAGUUGCCAGCUCGUCCUCCGGGAUGGUGGGGACACUGUUGGGACCGCCUCUGCUAAAGAGGAGGAAGGAAUGGGCAACGGUAGGUCAGCAUGCCCCGAAUUAUCUGGGCUACACGCGGGCUACAAUGGGUGGGACAAUGGGUAUCGACACCGAAAGGUGAAGGCAAUCUCCUAAACCCAUCCGUAGUUCGGAUUGUGGGCUGCAACUCGCCCACAUGAAGCUGGAAUCUGUAGUAAUCGUGUCUCAAAAUGGCACGGUGAAUAUGUCCCUGCUCCUU